rnacentral:lncRNA from 10 species
CAAGAACCCACCAAUUCCGGACACACUUUGACUCUUUCAGCCAUCUGUGUGGUAGCAUUUGCUGAAACAUGGCAGCCAGGCUUGAGAGGAACUGCCAGGUGAAUCCACUUCCCUUUCCUCCUCAGCUUUCCCCAGUGGGGCUGGAAGGCAUGGCCCUUUCAGCCAGCGCUCAUGGCAGAGCAGGAUUAACCUCCCUUAUCAAAACCGGGGAAGGAGGCAGAGCUUUUCCGGUAAACCUCCUCCCUCUUUGCCACACAUUUCCUAUGGAAAGACUGUCACGGGGAAGGAGGAGCUGUUAUAAUGAGAUCAUGAAGUCAGAGAAGCCAUGGUUGUUCUGGAUAGUGUUGGUGUGGGAGUAGCUAUCUCAAGUGCCUUGAGGGUUCUAAUCAUUAGCACUGGCUGUCCAAGUUCUGAUGAAGCUUCAGCUCCAUUUUUCAUCUGUCCGUAGAAGAGUUUCUCCACGACAUGGACCCAGGGACUUCAGUGAGUCACUUAAAAUAGGUUGAUUUCAGUCACUUAAAAUAGCGUGAUGGCUCACGCCUGUAAUCCCAGUGCUUUGGGAGCCUGAGGCAGGAAGAUCUGUUGAGGCCAGGAGUUUGAG